GUAGGUAUAGCCCAGUGGUAGAGUGCAUGCUUAGCAUGCAUGAAGUCCUGGGUUUAAUCCCCAGUACUUUCA
rnacentral:tRNA from 1 species